UCGGAAUUACUGGGCGUAAAGCGCACGCAGGCGGUUUGUUAAGCUAGAUGUGAAAGCCCCGGGCUCAACCUGGGAAUAGCAUUUAGAACUGGCAGACUAGAGUCUUGGAGAGGGGAGUGGAAUUUCUGGUGUAGCGGUGAAAUGCGUAGAUAUCAGAAGGAACAUCAGUGGCGAAGGCGACUCCCUGGCCAAAGACUGACGCUCAUGUGCGAAAGUGUGGGUAGCGAACAGGAUUAGAUACCCUGGCAGUCCACGCCGUAAACGAUGU
rnacentral:rRNA from 1 species